AAGUGCUGAAAGCAUCUAAGCACGAAACUUGCCCCGAGAUGAGUUCUCCCUGACUCCUUGAGAGUCCUGAAGGAACGUUGAAGACGACGACGUUGAUAGGCCGGGUGUGUAAGCGCAGCGAUGCGUUGAGCUAACCGGUACUAAUGAACCGUGAGGCUUAACCUU
rnacentral:rRNA from 1 species